CUCAAAACUGAUGGCGCAGGUGCCCGCGAAGGCGGGCUAAAAGGGAAUUCCCGUAAAACCGGGAGCUGCCCCGCAACUGUGUGCGGCGACGAGAUCUUGUAGACCCACUGGCUUAACGGCCGGGAAGGACAAGACAGUAGGAUGACCCGCAUAGCCAGGAGACCUGCCCGCGCCUGAAGCAGACC
rnacentral:ncRNA from 2 species